AUACUUUAUUAUUUUCUAUUAUAUGUUUUUCCCAAGUUGAUUAUUAUAUAAGGUAAAAGAGGAACUGGGAGCCAUGCCCAAACAGUCCCAGAUGUGCCAAUGGUAAAGAGAAAGGAGCCUUUGUUUUUUUUUUAUUUGAACUUUAUUUAUACAGGAUAAAUCUCAUUGAGAAAAGAAUUAUCUUCAAGAGAGACUGGUUUAAACAUGAUAUAAAGUAACAAAAAUAACGUACAGAACAACAGUACAAAUGUAUAUUAAAAUACAAUGUCAAACUGUUUAGUUAAUAAAUAAUUACAAACCCAUGAUUAAGACCAAAGACAUAAUUAACACCAAAUGCAGGAGCAGGAGCCUUCUGCUAUUUUGUCAAUAUUUCAGAUAUUACAUUCACCAAGAGAAAUCAGAUCAGAGAGCUUCAGCUUCAGUAAAAGAAAAACAUGACCUGUUUCAAUAGAAGAAACCUCAUUUUAGUCUCAGUGUUUUCAAAAGAUUCUCGACAUGAGCUUUAAAAGUUAAGUUUUCAUCACCAGCUCUAUAGAGGAACCUGAGUUUAAAAUAGAGGGUAAAAUAGCAGAAACUUUGCUUCGGUUGGAAAACAGCAUGAUCAUAGUUUUGUUCAAUACCAGUUUGAGCUCAGCCAGUUCAAAGGCAGACUGCAGUUGCUCAAAGGCCUGUCCAAUAGUGUGAGUACAACAGUCAACAACAGUAUCAUCAGCAUACAAAUGAAUGGAUGCCUUUGUGUGUUGAUCUAAAUUAUUUUUAUAAAUGUACAGUGUCGGUCCUAAAACUGACCCUUGAGGUACACCACCAACAACAUCUAAAAGGCCAGAGGAGGAUCCAUUAACUUUAACACACGGCUUUUGGUUUGACAGAUAAUCACUAAAGUGAGCAGUCAGUCAGGCCAAUAUAACACAGUUUUUGGUUCAAAAUGCAAUGAUUGACAGUAUCAAAGACCUUUGAGAGGACAACAAAAGAGGGCAACACAGUAAUUCUUAGAGUCUGAUGCAUGUAUUUCCAUGCAUGCCUUUUAAAGGGCAUAAAAGAGAGGACUUGUGAUAGACCAAAAACUGGAGAAAAAAAACAAAACAAAACAAAAAACAAGAAUUUAUUUGUAUCUUUCAUUUUUGUGUACAAGGUUUCAUCCUUAUGACGGAACACUGCAUAAGAACUAUCAGAGAAGGUGUUAACUGUAACCUCUAAGCCGCAGUGAGCUGCAGUUUGUUCAUCCAUUUUAUUUACACCAUUGUUUUGUUUAGAAUUUUUUUGAUCUGUCAUGCAGCCAUUCAGAUUAUAUAGUCAUGUUAACAGCAUAUAAUAUCAGUGGCUGCAACUACUGAAUAUCUACUGAAGAGGUAAAGAGCCUAGAUGACGUCCUUCUGAUACUUCCCUCAAAGCUAAAGCUUAAAAAUGAACACUGGAGAUACAGUAAAACUUUUUAAAUUAUAGUCAUAUAUUGUACGCCAAUCGGUUUGAAGAGUUAAAACAGAUAUAAUGUCCUGGAAGAAGUGCUGAGUUUUAACUUCUAUUUUUCAUAUUUCUGCUCCUAAAUUGGAGCAGUUUUCACUUUAAACAACAACAAAAUAUCUUCUUUUCAAAAACAUUUCCUGCCUCAAAUGACUUUUUGAUGGUGUAAUCAGGAAAGCUGUUUUGAAAAAACGCACUCACAACACAUGCAAGUGCUGCCACCCCGUGGUGAUCAUGAUAAGUGCAGUAGAUUUGGAACAAAAACUUUAAAUCAAGUUGUUUUUGACCUUGUACACGUACAAAUAUUUUAUUUUCGAUUAUUCAUGUUCAAGUAUAUCUACCAUUCAGAUUCCUGUGCAUGGAAAUAAUCUCUUUAAGGAUUACUAUAUCUGGUUGGAUUAGCUGGUACUUAAUCCAGAUAAUCACAUCUUGACAACAAUGGGCACUAACUGUACUGCAAUGAAGGACAAGAUGAAAAUUAUGUAGGAUAUCAUGACAAGGAAAACAACUUUAGCUGUGCUAAGCUUCCAGAUCUCAGCCCAGCUUUAUCCUGAAGCUCCAUACUGAGCAGCAGCAGAUGGCAAUUAACAGAUACUGUAAAGCAAGAGGAUGUCUAGUUUUAUUCUUAGGAGCGGAACCUUUCAUUGUGGAGUUUCAGUGUGUUUCUGGAAGGCAGACCUUCCCAAUUUGGGUCAGAACGAUGGAUUUUCCACAUUUACAAAUUACAUCUAGAACUUAAAUUCCAUUUAAUAGAUUAUUUACUGAUUGUGUUGUCAUUAUUUACCCAUUCUGGUUACUGUUAGGUCAUUUGAAUGACGCACUGAAACUGGACCUGUCUGAGCUUUCCUUCAAAAAUAGAAAUCAAACUGUCAAUAACAAGAUACAAACAUCUCCUUAAAGAAAACUUUAUGAAUUGUAUUAUAAUCUGAGGUUCCUUCCUGAAAUAGUCCAAGUCUUCGACUCAGUAAUGAGCCAGAUUUAUUCCAACACAUCCAGGGCAGCGGUUGAUCACAGCUGAAGGAAUGUUUUAUAUGGAAGUAAAUAUUAAACUUUCUCUGGUAGCAGGUUCAUGAAACCAAGAUAUUUAACAAAUAUAUUUUCGUUCCUCCUGUUGAGGUUGUUUCUUCAAUUAGGAAAUACUUUUGAGUAAAACGAAAAACAAACUAUUACAUUCAAUUAUUCAAUUACAAUCUAUAAAUACUGAUUUUAUUAAAGAAAGAUUAGUGUCAAAUAAAUUGGGUGGCAUUUUAAAUUUCUCUCCACCACAGAAAACCCAAAAACCUAGUAAUAGCCAUAUUCAAUAAGUUGUGUGCCAACUAGGCUUAAUUUCUCAGAAUUAAAGUCUAUUUUCAAAACAACCUUUAAGCAGGUAUUAAACAGUUUCAUUAAACCCACCUUUCUGUAAUAAAAAUGUUUUUAUUGGUCUGAUGUAAUAUUCUAAUCUUAUGUUUUCAUUCACUGUAAGCAGAAAAUCAUUAACAGAAAUAAGGCACUAAAAACAUGUCUGUGUAAUUAAUCUGUUUCACUUGGUGAACUUUCUGAAAUAAAUUAACUUUUCAAUGUUCUAAUUUAUUGAAUAUGACUGUCAGGAAAGGAUAUGGUGUAAAUAACUCAGGGCCCAAAUGUUCAUGAAGAUUUCUGACAAUCUGUGAAACAGUAUUAUCUAAAUCAAAUUGCUAGCAACAUGAGACACACAAAGGAGAAUAUAUGAAACAUCAGAAAACCAAAAUGUGAAUAACCAACUGCCCUCUUCAUACGGUCAAAACUCAUGUCUGGCUUUUGUUUGUGUAUUUAUUCCACUGCAAAGUGAUUAAAAACAUUUUCAAGACAUUUUUCCAUUGAAGUUUAAUAUUUUCAUAGCAAAGAAAAAUAAAAUGAAAUUAGUUGACAUUUGUACUGCACAAUAAAUGUAGAACAGAGGGAUCGAUAACUUUCAGUCAAUGAAAGAUUUGAGUUUAAAUGCAAACAUUCUGUGUGAAUUUUUUUUUUAAACACAAAGUAAAAAACAAAAAUCACAAUA